GGGUGAGUAGCUCAGUGGUAGAGCUUUCCUCUGAUAAGGGAAAGGUCGAAGGUUCGAUUCCUUCCUCACCCACCA
rnacentral:tRNA from 1 species